AGCGAACGCUGGCGGCAGGCCUAACACAUGCAAGUCGAACGAACCUUUCGGGGUUAGUGGCGGACGGGUGAGUAACACGUGGGAACGUGCCGUUAGGUUCGGAAUAACUCAGGUAAACUUGUGCUAAUACCGAAUGUGCCCUUCGGGGGGAAGAUUUAUCUCCGUUAGAGCGGCCCGCGUCUGAUUAGCUAGUUGGUUGAGGUAAUGGCACACCAAGGCGACGAUCAGUAGCUGGUCUGAGAGGAUGAUCAGCCACAUUGGGACUGAGACAAGGCCCAAAAUCCUGCGGGAGGCAGCAGUGGGGAAUCUUGCGAAAUGGGCGAAAGCCUGAAGCAGCCAUGCCGCGUGAAUGAUGAAGGUCUUAGGAUUGUAAAAUUCUUUCACCGGAGACGAUAAUGACGGUACCCGGAGAAGAAGCCCCGGCUAACUUCGUG
rnacentral:rRNA from 1 species